AAGGAUUCUUUUUCUUAUUCCACAGGUAAGGAAAAGUCUUCUUUUUAUUUAUUAUUCAAAGUAAAGUAUUCUUUUUAAAAAUAAAAGGUACUAUAUUGUCUAUAAAUGAAAGUGUAAGCAUUCCACCUCAAGAGUAAUGUGGCAACGCAUAAACUGAAAUCAUUAGACCGUUUCUGAAACCAGUAGUGAAGUAUGUUGUUUAAUUUGAUGGUCCGCACAAAACCUUACCACAAUUUGUAUUUAGAAUAGGUUUGUACAAGAGUUGCACGGCUGUCUUCAGUUAAUGUCGUGAGAUUUUGGUUAGUUCCAUAAAAUUAACGUAAACCCUUACUUUAUUUAUAUUAUAAAGUAGUUCACCGCUAUAUUGGAUCUGAUAAAAGGGACUAAGACAAGUCAUCAUGGCCUGAAUAUUGUGGGCUAUAGAC
rnacentral:rRNA from 1 species